GGCUAUUCUUGGACUUGCUGUGAUGCAUAGAAUGUGGUGACCAGGAUGGUUCCGGGUAUAAUCAUUAAGAAGCCUGGAUGCUUCUGCAUUCUUUUAGGAAUGUAUCAGCCAUGCUAUGAAGAAGCUUAGACUGGACUGAGGAAUACUGGCACAUACUUUGGCUAGAGAAAUAUGAAUGACCACAUGUGUGAGUGAGAGAGGUCAUCUUGGGCCUCCAGCUUGACUGACACCAUGGACUGACACCAUGGACUGACUCCAGAAGAACCAUUGGGGCCAAACUUCCCCUGAAUCCCUAAUCCAUGGGAAACCCCCCAUAGUGGUGUUUCCAGCUGUUAAGCUUUGGAGUGGUGGCUUACACAGCAGUCUAUAACCAGUUUUCUUCUAGAACAGUGGCUCUCUACAGGAGAUAAAGAGAUUGUGCCCCACCAGAGGAUUUUUGUGAAGUCUGGAGACAGUUUCAAUUGUGAAAACUGGAGAGGUUUCUCUUGGUGUCUAGCAGGGAGAGACAAGGAGAUCCUGCUGUCACCAAAAAUAAAGGCACAAUGUUCAAGACAGGUUGAAUAAAAGGGAGUUUCUGAAUAUCUCAGCUCCAAAGGUAAAACUGAGGACAGUGCUCACCAUGAAAGCCUUCCAUGGCCUGUCCUUGCAGGCACUGGGCCUCUAUGAGAGAAGAUAAAAAAGAAACCACAAUAAAUACGUGAUACACAUGUGAA